rnacentral:rRNA from 1 species
AUUACCGCGGCUGCUGGCACAGAGUUAGCCGGUGCUUAUUCUGCGAGUAACGUCCACUAUCCAAGAGUAUUAAUCUCAGUAGCCUCCUCCUCGCUUAAAGUGCUUUACAACCAUAAGGCCUUCUUCACACACGCGGCAUGGCUGGAUCAGGGUUCCCCCCAUUGUCCAAUAUUCCCCACUGCUGCCUCCCGUAGGAGU